rnacentral:rRNA from 1 species
ACUAGGAUUAGAUACCCUAUUAUUAAGAAAAAUUAUAUUGUUAGUAUAUAAAUUGUAUGAAAACAAAAAAUUAUGGCGGUAUUUUAAGCUUUUCAGAGGAAUUUGCUCUUUAAUGGAUAAAACACCUAAAUCUUACUAAAUUUAGUUAAACAGUUUGUAUACCACUAUUUAAGUAAUAAUUUGCUAUUAUUACUAAAAUUUAUAUUAAUUAAAAAAAGUUAAGUCAAGGUGCAGCAUAAAUUUUAGUAUGAAGUGAAUUACAUUUCUUUUAAGAAAAUUUUGUUGAAAAUAAAAUUUAGGAUUUGAAAGUAAAAUUUUAAUAGAAGGAAAAUUUGAAUUAAGCUCUAAAAUAUGUACACAUCGCCCGUCGCUCUCA